rnacentral:rRNA from 1 species
CAAGUCGAACGAGAAAGUGGAGCAAUCCAUGAGUAAAGUGGCGUACGGGUGAGUAACACGUGGGUUAUCUACCUCUUAGUGGGGAAUAACGAUGGGAAACCGUCGCUAAUACCGCAUAAGCUCGAGAGAGGAAAGCAGCAAUGCGCUGAGAGAGGAGCCCGCGGCCGAUUAGCUAGUUGGCAGGGUAAAAGCCUACCAAGGCAGAGAUCGGUAGCCGGCCUGAGAGGGCACACGGCCACACUGGCACUGAAACACGGGCCAGACUCCUACGGGAGGCAGCAGUGGGGAAUCUUGCACAAUGGGGGAAACCCUGAUGCAGCGACGCCGCGUGAGCGAUGAAGCCCUUCGGGGUGUAAAGCUCUUUCGGCAGGGAAGAUUAUGACGGUACCUGCAGAAGCAGCUGCGGCUAACUACGUGCCAGCAGCCGCGGUAAUACGUAGGCAGCAAGCGUUGUUCGGAGUUACUGGGCGUAAAGGGUGUGUAGGCGGUUGUUUAAGUUUGGUGUGAAAUCUCCCGGCUCAACUGGGAGGGUGCGCCGAAUACUGAAUGACUAGAGUGCGGGAGAGGUGAGUGGAAUUCCUGGUGUAGCGGUGAAAUGCGUAGAUAUCAGGAGGAACACCGGUGGUGUAGACGGCUCACUGGACCGUAACUGACGCUGAAACACGAAAGCGUGGGUAGCAAACAGGAUUAGAUACCCUGGUAGUCCACGCCCUAAACGAUGCAUAUUUGGUGUGGGCAGUUCAUUCUGUCCGUGCCGGAGCUAACGCGUUAAAUAUGCCGCCUGGGGAGUACAGUCGCAAGGCUGGA